rnacentral:lncRNA from 1 species
GGCCGACUGGAGAAAUUCUUCUACCAUAUUUGUAGGACUUUAUAGAAAAAUCCUUCUGCUAUAUUUAUAGGGCCUUUUAGGAAAAUUCUCUUACUAUGUUUGUAGGUCUUCUAGAAAAAUCAUCCUACUAUAUUUGUAGGGUCUUCUAGAGAAAUCAAAUUUAUUUCUAAUAAAGACGACCUCUGAUCUUCCCCAUACAAACAUAUUCCUAUGCC